rnacentral:rRNA from 1 species
AUACGUAGGGGACGAGCGUUGUCCGGAAUUACUGGGCGUAAAGGGCGCGCAGGCGGAUAUUUAAGUCAGCUGUAAAAGGCAUGAGCUCAACUCAUGUAUGCGGUUGAAACUGGGUAUCUAGAGUGCUGGAGAGGUAGGCGGAAUUCCCGGUGCAGCGGUGAAAUGCGUAGAUAUCGGGAAGAACACCAGUGGCGAAGGCGGCUUACUGGCCAGCAACUGACGCUGAGGCGCGAAAGCCAGGGGAGCGAACGGGAUUAGAUACCCCGGUAGUCCUGGCCGUAAACGAUGAAUGCUAGGUGUGGGUGUCGAGAGGCAUCCGUGCCGGAGUUAACGCGAUAAGCAUUCCGCCUGGGGAGUACGAUCGCAAGAUUGAAACUCAAAUGAAUUGGCGGGG